UCCUGCCGACUCGGAGCCUGGCCUUGUGGUCUGCUUUGGCAGAUGGAACAGCAGCUGAGACACAUGAGCAGACCAUCCUCGAGCUUAUGCGGCGUGGUUUGACCCCUUGCUCUUUGGUCACCAUCAAGAGAAGAACAGACCCCAGCGUGAGUCGUGUGGAGCCGUCCGAAACUGACUCACAGCCUGGAGCCAAGUGCAGCGGAGCUCCGUGGGAGCCCAGCCAUCCCCAACCAAGACAGCCAACCGCAGCCAGACCACAGGCCCGGGAGUGAGAGCAACACACGUGUGUUGCUGUGAGCCGCUGAGCCUGGGGGGCUGUUUGUUACAGAGCACUGUUACAGCAAUGGCAGACCUGUGCAGUGGAGAUGUGUGUGGUGCAGGAGCAGGGAGUACCCCCAACUGGAUGGGCAGAAGUAAUCUGAAUGAAAUGGCUGGGUGGUAAAAUUCACCAGCACAUCCACAAAACAGAGCUUACCCUCUGCACCCACAGCCGGGCCCAGUAAGGAAGGAAGCAUCGUAGCCAUUGUAUCCACAAGCAGACUGAGGUUAGAGGAGCCCAGCAUUCUGCCAAGAUUCAUGUGGCUGGGGAGCGUGCAGCAGGAGCCCAGACCCAGCACUGGCCGCCUGGUGUUUCCUGACCCGCCACAGUGGAAAGCAGCCCAGACGAAGCCUGGCCCUGCCGAGCCGAGCAGCCCUCACACCUGUGCUCAGCCAAGCCGGCCUGCUGCAGGAGUUGGCCGCGGCAGAUGCCAGCUCGCCCUCAAGCCGAGAAAAAUCCAUCACGGCUAAUCUCACUCCCCCAGUGAUUCCUGAGCUGUGUGCCGUGGAAAGGUUGGCCCCAAAUCCUCUCUGGCCUCCCCCCGGCACCUGCCUUCCUCUGAGAACUGGGGUGGGAGAAGGCUGCCAGCAGGCCCCUCCACGGAGGCCAUCUCCCCGGCGUCCUGCGCGUUUGCUCUAACUGCUUCUCCUGCAGGUGCAUACCCUUUCCUAGGAUCAGACACAGAAAGCUGUUUAGGCAGAAAGCCAGGUCUGACAGCCCCUCUGAGCACAAGGACAAAUGCACUGAGCUCCCAAGGCGACUCCGCUCAUUCUACCUCGAGUCCGUCAGGCCUGGCUCGACUCCCAAAGCAGCGCUCACCAAAACGAGUUUCUUUGUGUAAGCCUGGAAGUGUGACACAGAACUGGGGAACUGGAGACCCGCCCAGGGCACUGUCUCCUUGGAUUUCUCCCCAUCUUCCAAAGAGAAUCUUCCCCAGCCAGUGUUCCCGAGAAGAACUGCUGUCCACCCUCCAGAGGGGCAGAAGCCCGGUGCCUUCUGGCCUUGCCCCACCCAGACCCCGGAGCAGGAAGCGGAGGCCCUUCUCCUCCCAAAGGCACCGGCUCCUUGCAACCCAGGGCAGCAAAACUUCUCCACCUGGUUCCUGCGAACCCAUUACCCUGGGGCCAGUGUCUCAUUAAGCCAACAGGACUCCAGUGUUUUGAUGGAGGAAGAGAAUAUUCCCGAAUGAAAAGGCGAGGCUGUUCCCCACCAGGCUGGGGGCACGGAGAGGGAGCCAGAGAGCGAGGAGAGCUCAAUGCCUGUGCCAGGAUUCUUAGAACUGAGGGAAGAUGCAAGUAACCAAGGAAGCUGUGGCUUCUGCCUCCUCCCAGAGCCUCUUUCCCACCCCCCAGCCCGCAUCUCCUUCUCCAAGAGAGCAGGCCCUUCAGGGGCACAAGGAGGCAUCGCUUACCUGUGCCUGGGCUUCUUGCUGUCCAGUAUGCAGAGGGCAAGGCCAGCACCGGGAGAAGCGGCUUCAGGCGUCCCAGGGACCUGCUGCCUCUUUUCCAGGGAGCAGCUCCCAGCCCGCUCUGUGCAGCUCGUCCCAGCUCAGAGCAUAGAUGUGCAUGUGUCUGUGGAGGUGGGGUGCCCUCAGGAGCAGGGGGUCAAAUAUUCUUGGCUGCCACCUGCUGCCAGCCCAUCCCAGGGGCCAGCUGCCUGAGAGGGGGGCCCUCCGGCUGCGCCGCCGUCAUCUGUGGGGAGUGGCAGGCGGCAGCUCUGGCUCUCCAGGCUCCUGCCUGCUCCGGGCUUAGGCGAGUGGUUUAUUUAUAGAGCCUGGCCUUCCCCAGAUGCCAGCAUCCCAGCUGAGAUUUCCAGCGCUCAAACUCGCCCAUACCUGCCCUGAGUUGUUGCUCACUGUGACUGUUCGGGAGGAUAAGGACCAAGAUACUUAAGCGAUAUGGUCCUCAGCCUUCUCCCCUGAGAGGAGCAGGGCUGGACCGGGGGUCUCCCAGGCCCUCCUGCUGUGGGCAGUGCCUGACCCAGGAGCCCGGCCUGCGAGUCAGCUUGGGCAAGGCGCUUCCCCGCCCUAGGCUGCCUCAGUUUCCUUUUCUGGAAGAUGAAAGAAGACAGAGGGUCUGCCUGUCCAGAGCAGGGCUGGGAUCAAAGAAUGGACUGGAACGAACAAUGGCCACCACCGUCCACUCUGUGCUUCUCCCCAGCUGGGCUGAGUCUUCGCGAGGGCACCACUGUCACCUCCAGGGGCCACUCCAUAGGAGAUGCACACAGCAGGUGCUUGAGAAUGAGUGAAUAAGGGAGCAGACACAUCCCCACAUACAGGCUUGCUUCAGGCUCCUAAUAACCUGCGAGGGUCCUGGAAUACGCCCACUUGGCAGACGGGAAGCCCGAGGUCUAGAAGGGUGGGUGGCCUUUCCAGGGCCCCCCAACAAAAGGCGGUAACACCACAGUUUCCAUGGGUCAUUCUGUUUCCAAACCUCAUUCCCUUACCACGUCCUCAUCAGGCCUCACGGUCAGAUGAGUGUCCCCUGCAACGCUGCCAUCUUCCGAACCUGAUGCAUAGUUCAGGGCUCCCCCACCACCGUGGCUACUGCGAUCUCUGCUCCUCGCUCCUGCCCUCUGUGAACGCAUCUGCCUUCCCGAGGACGUGCUCUGGUGUGCCGGUACGGCUCCUCCCUGGUUCUGGCGGUUUCUCCUGGGCAUUUCCCCCGUGCCUGGGGAGCCCGGGUGCAUCUCCUGACCCCGCUGGGCCUCACUCUCGCCUCUCAAACCAGUGAUUCCUCCUCUGGGGCAAGUGAGGGGCUUGUCUGCCUUCUCACAGGUGAAGGCGCCAGACUCACAGGCGCCCACGUUUGCUCAUCCGCUUCGACUCAGCUCACGUGAAAGAAGUUCGCUAAUCUUUGUGAGUUUGCUGGGUGUGCUGGAGUUAACAGAGCAGCCCGGUCCUGGUGGGCUCCAGCUUCAGUGCAGGAAGAACAUGGGCCGGGCUGUCCUCCCCAGACAUGCAAGCCUGGGUGCAGCUGCUGGACUCUGGGCCUCCCCACUACCGCUUUGGCCGGUGCUCCCCCUGCGCCUGGGAAGCCACCUUCCUCCCUUCCUUCCACUUCUUUGCCUGCCGAGAUCCCUCAGGGCCUCCCAAGCCCAGACCCACCUCCUCUGAGCUCUGGGCACUGGUGCGCUGGUCUCUCAGGGCCCCAGGAGGGCUGGGGACUGGGAAUGCCCCCCUUGCUCCUCUCCUGGAGAAUAGGAGGCCGGCUGCCUGGAUGCUGGGACAGCAGGGACAAAGCUCAGAGGUCUCUCCCCCCAUGGAGUCGGAUGUGAACCUCCGCAGGGCCUCCCCAGCCUCCGGGGCUACUUGGAAGCAGGGCAGCCUGGGCUCUCACUCCUCACCCAGAACUGUCCAUCCCUGGGCAGCUGACCCGGCCCAGCCAGUGGUCCCUGCUAGGACCUGUCCUGCAGGAAUAGCUGGAGAGGCAGGGGGAGCACAUCCAUCCAGAGCACCCAGCACCGCCCCAUGCCCCGUCUAAGCAGGUCACCCCUCUCCGGUUGUCUCUCACAGUCCCUGAUUCCGGAGCACUUGUCCAGGAGAACCGACGUGCUCCAGUGUCCCCGACUUGCUUGACCUGGUCUCUCCCGUCGGGGUGGACACUCCUGGAGCAGGCCCACUGCUUACUCCGGACUCCCAGUGCCCUCUGUUCCUGCUUCCUGGUCACAGGAAUGAAUCUCCUAAAGAAAGGUUAAGCGAAUCAUGGCCGUCACAGGAUGCCAUGCCAUGCAGCCAUCACAAACUAACUUCUGAGUAAUGUUUAGUAUCAGGGGAAAAUGUUACACCUUGACGCCAAAUGAAUAGAGUAGAUUACAAUCUGCCCAUGUAGGAUGGUCUCAGUGUUGUUUAAGAUCUAUGUUAGACUGGGCAUGGUGGUUCACGCCUGUAAUCCCAGCACUUUAGGAGGCCAAGGCUGGUGGAUCACCUGAGGUCAGGAGUUUGAGACCAGCCUGGCCAACAUGAUGAAACCCCGUCUCUACUAAAAAUACAAAAAUUAGCCAGGCGUGAUGUUGGACGCCUGUAAUCCCAAGUUUUUACAAGUUGUUUUAUUUACAAUGCCAACUUUUAAAAGGUCGUUCAAGUGAUCUGGACAAGAUACUAGGCAGAAACCCCUUUACAAAAAGAGGGAAAACCCAGGGUGCCCCUUUCUGUAAAGAAGCCACCGUUCGGUUUUAUGUAGAGCAAAGAAAAAAGAAACUUUUGAUUACACUAGAGGAAACUCAGACAUAGGUUUGGAAUCUGUACUCAAAACUACACACACAAUGAGGACAGUGUCCUGCUGUCACGACCUGCUGCUGCACCUGCCCGUGGUGUGUCUAACAUUUGCAGUGACAGAGCAGUACGGCUAGUAUUCGGGACCAUCCUCACAGUGUUCGUGUCAGAUGCAUUUCACUGCUCUCCAGACCGCUGUUCUCUUUGCACACUCAGGCUUCUUCCUCUUUGUUUUUGAUACGGAAGGUCUUGUGAAUCUCCAGUUUUCCCCUCAAUCAUGUGGGCGGUGGUCACAUGUAACAUCAAGCAAACUUUUGAGUCUAAGUAGUUUACAGCCAGAAUAAGUUCAAAAAGCAUUUCUCUGGUCAACUUUCAGGGAGAUUCUGGGUCCCAACAGAAAUGAUCUGUUCACUUUUCUUGGUUCUUAUCACCCUCAGGAGGAGGAGGAAGGUAUUCCUUGGGGUGGGUUCACCCCUGAGUGACCUUUUAAAAUAUUGCUGCAUUAACAUUUAGGAGAGGAAC